rnacentral:lncRNA from 1 species
GCUCUUGUUGCCCAGGCUGGAGUGCAAUGGCAUGAUCUCAGCUCAGCACAACCUCCGCCCCCGGGUUCAAUGUCCGAUAGACACCAGGAAGCAACUAGCAGAGAAUUUGGUAGUCAUAGGUGGCACUUCUAUGUUGCCAGGAUUUCUCCACAGAUUGCUUGCAGAAAUAAGGUAUUUGGUAGAAAAACCAAAAUAUAAAAAAGCACUUGGCACUAAGACAUUUCGAAUUCAUACUCCACCUGCAAAAGCUAAUUGUGUGGCCUGGUUGGGAGGGGCUAUUUUUGGAGCAUUACAAGAUAUACUUGGGAGCCGUUCUGUUUCAAAGGAAUAUUAUAAUCAGACGGGCCGUAUACCUGAUUGGUGUUCUCUCAAUAACCCACCUUUGGAAAUGAUGUUUGAUGUCGGGAAAACUCAACCACCUCUGAUGAAGAGAGCAUUUUCCACUGAGAAAUAGAAGUUUGAUUAAAAAUCAACCUUGCUUCAUAUCAAAUAUUUAACCAAUUAUAAGCAAAUUGUACAAAGUAUGUAGGAUGUUUUGUUAUAGAGGACUAUAGUGGAAGUGAAAGCAUUCUGUGUUUACUCUUUGCAUUAAUAUAUAAUUCUUUUGACUUUGUUUCUCUUGUGUAGUGGUAAAAUGGUAGCUGGUGCUUAUUGAGAUUUGCUGUAUUUAUAUCAAUAAAGUAUAGUAAAGCA